UACGUAGGGACCGAGCGUUGUCCGGAUUCAUUGGGCGUAAAGAGCUCGUAGGCGGCCACUCAAGUCGAAUGUGAAACCUCGAGGCUUAACCUCGAGCCUGCAUUCGAUACUGGGCGGCUAGAGUCUGGUAGGGGGAUCUGGAAUUCCUGGUGUAGCGGUGGAAUGCGCAGAUAUCAGGAGGAACACUGGUGGCGAAGGCGGGAUCCUGGGCCAGUACUGACGCUGAGGAGCGAAAGCGUGGGGAGCAAACAGG
rnacentral:rRNA from 1 species